UAGGGAAUCUUCGGCAAUGGACCGAAAGUCUGACCGAGCAACGCCGCGUGAGUGAAGAAGGUUUUCGGAUCUGUAAAACUCUGUUGUUAGAGAAGAACGUUUUGAGAGUGGAAAGUUAUUCAAUUGACGGUAUCUAACCACGAAAGGGACAGGCUAACUACGUGC
rnacentral:rRNA from 1 species